ACGAAAUUCUCUCGUCACUGACACGUUGCUUUUUAGUUAAUGCUUAACUGAGCCAAAAUCCUGAAUUGAUUAAUUACUUGUGGACGGAGACUUCGGAAGCACAAAACUUGCGGUCAAUGUUUUGUACAUUUAGAGUUCAUUUUGCACAAGGUACAUUCAGUUUUUAGUACGUGACCAUUGUAAGGAAUAUACAUCUUCACCAUGUUUAUUACUUUUGAAAUAUCGCCAGAAUUAAAAAGACUGCUCGAUUCAUGGUUCUUGUACAGAAGACCGUCAGCGGUUGCACUGAUUUUAGUUGCAUAUACUGCAUUCGUACUGUAUCUGGGACCAAAAUUCAUGAAAAAUAGGGAGCCAUACAAUUUAAAAAAGGUCAUCAUUUUGUACAAUGCACUGCAAGUGUUCGUCAAUUUUUGGGUUCUGUCAUGGUCAGCUCUUGACGCAACCUGCUGGAAACAUUUUUUCUAUUUUGGUUGUAUAGAAACGAGUCCACAAAAAGAGCAAGAUCUGCAAAUGUUAAUGUGUGUGACAUUUUGGUAUAUGCUGGUGAACAAAAUAUUGAAUCUGUUAGACACGGUUUUCUUCGUGCUAGGCAAGAAACAGAACCGUAUCACCUUCCUUCACGUACAGCAUCAUGUUUUAAGCGUGGCGAUAGUAUGGAUAAUUGGAAAGUAUUUCAUCGGAAUAGAGCUGGGAGUGGCAUUCGGCUGUAACACGGUUGUCCAUACGAUUAUGUACUUUUAUUAUUUGAUUGCUGCGCUGGGUCCUGCAUACAAAAAAUAUCUUUGGUGGAAGAAAUAUUUGACAAUGCUUCAAAUUUGUCAGUUUAUAUUUGUUAUUGUCUAUUUACUUGCAGCGAUAUGCUUCAGUUGUGGAUACAAUCGUACAACUGCUUGCAUUGCAAUACUCCACGCUGUCCUGAAUUUGGCUUUGUUCCUAAAAUUUUAUUUCGAUACAUACGAUUCAAAAAAGCUAAUAAGUGACAAAAUUGCGGUGUGCUCAAGUUUGCAGUUUAGCAGCAAUUACACGGAAAAUCAGACGGAUACCAAUGAAAAUAAUAAGAAGAAAAUGUAGAAACUCGAACCGAAUUUCUGUUCGUGUCUAAUUCAAUUAAUUUUAGUAAAAUACGCAGUAAUUGUUAAAAAAAAGAGUUAAAAUU